GACGAACGCUGGCGGCAUGCUUAACACAUGCAAGUCGAACGCAUCACUUCGGUGGUGAGUGGCAGACGGGUGAGUAACGCGUGGGAACCGGCCCCUGGGUACGGGAUAACACCGGGAAACUGGUGCUAAUACCGUAUAGGCCACGUAAGGGGUACAGAUUAAUCGCCCUAGGAUGGGCACGCGUCAGAUUCGGUCGUUGGUGGGGUAAUGGCCUACCAAGCCUACAAUCUGUAGCUGGUCUGAGAGGAUGAUCAGCCACACUGAGACUGAGACACGGCGCAGACUCCUACGGGAGGAAGCAGUGGAGAAUAUGGGACAAUGGGCGCAAGCAUGAUCCAGCUAUGCCGCGUGAGUGAUGAAGGCCUUCGGGUUGGAAAGCUCUUUCGAUGGGGACUAUGUUGACGGUACCCAUAGAAGAAGCACCGGCAAACUUCGUGCCAGCCGCCGCCGUAAGAC
rnacentral:rRNA from 1 species